rnacentral:misc_RNA from 1 species
GAAAUGCGAUAAGUAAUGUGAAUUGCAGAAUUCAGUGAAUCAUCGAAUCUUUGAACGCACAUUGCGCACGCCAGCACUCUGGCGGGCAUGCCUGUUCGAGCGUCAUUUCAACCCUCAGAACCCCUUGCGGGAUCUGGCGUUGGGGAUUGGCAUCCAGCCAGCCCCGAAAUCUAGUGGCGGUCCCUCCGCGACCUCCCCUGUGCAGUAGCGAUACCUCGCAGCGGGACAGCGGUCUGACCACGCCGUAAAACCCCCAACUUCUCAAGGUUGACCUCGAAUCAGGUAGGAAUACGCGCUGAAGUUAAGC